rnacentral:rRNA from 1 species
GUGGGGAAUCUUCCGCAAUGGACGAAAGUCUGACGGAGCGACGCCGCGUGAGUGAAGAAGGCCUUCGGGUCGUAAAGCUCUGUCAUCAGGGACGAACGGCCGGUGGAGUGGAAAGCCACCGGAUUGACGGUACCUGAGAAGGAAGCCACGGCUAACUACGUGCCAGCAGCCGCGGUAAUACGUAGGUGGCAAGCGUUGUCCGGAAUUAUUGGGCGUAAAGCGCGCGCAGGUGGUAUCUUAAGUCCAUUUUUAAAGUUCGGAGCUCAACUCCGUGAUGGGAUGGAAACUGGGAUUCUUGAGUACCGGAGAGGAAAGCGGAAUUCCCCGUGUAGCGGUGAAAUGCGUAGAUAUGGGGAGGAACACCAGUGGCGAAGGCGGCUUUCUGGACGGUGUCUGACACUGAGGCGCGAAAGCUAGGGGAGCGAACGGGAUUAGAAACCCGGGUAGUCC